rnacentral:rRNA from 1 species
GGAUGCGAUCAUACCAGCACUAAAGCACCCGAUCCCAUCAGACUCGAAGUAGCGUGCUUGGUGAGAUAGUACUAGGAUGGUGACCUCCUGGGAAGUCCUCGUGUUCAUUCCC